GAACGCUGGCGGCGUGCCUAAUACAUUCAAGUCGAGCGAACGGACGAGAAGCUUGCUUUUCUGAUGUUAGCGGCGGACGGGUGAGUAACACGUGGAUAACCUACCUAUAAGACUGGGCUAACUUCGGGAAACCGGAGCUAAUACCGGAUAAUAUUUUGAACCGCAUGGUUCAAAAGUGAAAGACGGUCUUGCUGUCACUUAUAGAUGGAUCCGCGCUGCAUUAGCUAGUUGGUAAGGUAACGGCUUACCAAGGCAACGAUGCAUAGCCGACCUGAGAGGGUGAUCGGCCACACUGGAACUGAGACACGGUCCAGACUCCUACGGGAGGCAGCAGUAGGGAAUCUUCCGCAAUGGGCGAAAGCCUGACGGAGCAACGCCGCGUGAGUGAUGAAGGUCUUCGGAUCGUAAAACUCUGUUAUUAGGGAAGAACAUAUGUGUAAGUAACUGUGCACAUCUUGACGGUACCUAAUCAGAAAGCCACGGCUAACUACGUG
rnacentral:rRNA from 1 species